ensembl:lncRNA
UUUCGGGUCGGAAAACUAACGAAAAAGCGCCCCGCAGCCCUCUCCUUCCACCUCUUUCCGACUUCCAGGGAAACUACAAGACUUUGCCCGAGAGGAAGGGGGUGUGGGGAGGCUCCCUUCAGAAGCAAAAAGUCCCGGCAAACAGCGAGGGCACAAAAGGGUCCCUCGCGCGGCGCUCCGCACCCCCUCUCGGUUCCCCGGGCGGGUCCCGUGGCGAGGGGUGGGCUAGAAAGUGUGAAAAGCCCCGCCGGCGCCGGAAAGCGCGUCCGGGGGCCUCUGCGAGGCCGCCCGGCUCUUCGGGAGCUCCGAGGGGCCCUGCGGGCCUCGCGGCGGACAGCGAGGGCGAGUCCCGAGGUCCGAGAGCGCCGCGACCCGCCUUGGCCCCUGAGGGGCCCCGCCGGGAGGACUCGGGCCAGACCCGGAGAAGCCGCUGACCACCCCGCCCUGGUCGUCGUCCACGUCCGCUCGGCCCGCGCGGCCCCGCGCUGGACGUGCCCGCCCCGGGCACCCAGCCCCUUCCGUCCGCCCCCGCCCCGGGAAGUCCCCGGCCCCGAGCCCAGCCGCCGCCCGGGGAGGUGUGGGCGAGCGCGCUGGAAGGAAACCGCGGCGGCCCGGCCCCUGGACGUGUCCGGGAAGGAACGCGGACUUUCUCUCAUUCCACAAGUCUUCCUUGUGUACACCCAGGGAGUCAGGCUUCACCGGUGACAAAGGGAAGACCCCGCUUGCUCCCUCGUUCAGCCUCACUCCAUUCAUCAGGAAGUGAUCCCACGGGGCAAGCUUUGCCCUAUUCCAGCUUCAUAGCCGAGAAUGAUUGAAAACAGGAGAAAGCAUUGCUGUCAAAGAUUAUACAGUACAAUGAAGUUGUACAGUGGGGCUCAAGAAUAUAAAUGUUAGCAGCAAACUUCUGGCCACUUGAUAAUGAGAAAAACUAGUGUUUGAAUGUGGAUAUCACCACCAAUGUUCCACUUCAAUACUGACUGUAAUACUUGAAUGACUCAAUGCAUUGAAACUCUUUUUUGAUGAAAGUUUUAAAUGUAUAUUUCCAUUUAAUAAAUAUUUGUUUGAG